rnacentral:rRNA from 1 species
GGAAUCUUCCACAAUGGACGCAAGUCUGAUGGAGCAACGCCGCGUGAGUGAAGAAGGGUUUCGGCUCGUAAAGCUCUGUUGUUAAAGAAGAACGUGGGUAAGAGCAACUGUUUACCCAGUGACGGUAUUUAACCAGAAAGCCACGGCUAACUACGUGCCCG